CGACAGCUUACUGGCCUAAAGAUCGGGCUCGUUAUGACGAGUUCUAUCCCGUUCUCGGCCAACGUACUACUAUAGAACCUAGCUCUGUCACUCUCGUUUGCUCUACCUCUCUAGCUAAAGAUUCCUUUGCUGUUAGCUGACGAGCGAUUCCGUUUCCUAGGCGUCGUUUCAUCUGAUCGGCUGGUUUGCCUGCAUUUAGUCGAUAUAUCGGAGUUUUGCAAGGAAAUCAUUCAGGAAAGCGGUUAGGGAUCCGCAAUCUGUUCUCGAACGAACGAUAUAAGUUUGGAGAUGGCCUACAGGUCAGAAAAAGAUAGUGAGACUGAGUUAGAGUACUACAAGUAUAAAUAUUAUAAUGAGUUGAAGAAAGGCAGGCCUAAGGUUAAGUUUUCUGAUUUAGCAUAUAGAUGCCCAUACUGCCCUGGUAAGAGUAAGCAAGAUUACCUCUUUAAGGAGCUUCUCCAACAUGCUUCUGCUGUUAUUACCUCACGGAGUAGGAGCACCAAAGAGAAAGCGAGGCACUUGGCUUUAGAGAGGUACAUGAGAAAGUAUCUUGAUGUGAAGGUUCAUUCUGAACUUGCCACUAAAACUGAAUGUUCCAAGCCUCAUGGUGAUCAGGGGUUUGUGUAUCCUUGGAAGGGCAUCAUCGCAAAUAUUAAAACUGAAUGGAAAGAUGGGAAACAUGUUGGUGAAAGUGGAACAAGACUCAGGGAGGAGUUGUCAAGGAAGGGGUUUAAUCCUGUGAGGGUCCAUCCCAUAUGGAAUCGUUUGGGACAUUCAGGUUUUGCGAUUGCAGAGUUUAAAAGUGAUUGGACUGGUUUCAACAAUGCCAUGUCCAUGGAGAAGAGUUUUGAAGUCGAUCAUUGUGGGAAGAGGGACUACUACACAGCCAAAAAUCUAGGAGAUAAGUUGUUUGGAUGGAUGGCCCACAAGGAUGACUAUGACUCGAACGGCCCUAUUGGUGUGUAUCUUAGAAAGAGUGCAGAUGUGAAAACCAUUUCUGGAAAAGAAGCAGAAGAUCAAAGAAAGGCUUCAACGCUUGUCUCAAACUUAACAAAUACCCUGGAGGUCCAGAGUUUGCACCUUAAACAGAUUGAGAACGAAUAUCAGGAAACCAGUGCGUCUCUAAACAAGUUGAUAGGGCAAAAGGAGGACAAGCUCAAGGCUUACAAUGAAGAAAUGAAAAAGAUGCAACAGAAUACACGCUAUCAUCUUGAGAAGAUUUUCUUAGAGCAUGAGAAGGUUACACUGCAUUUGGAGGCUCAGAAAAAACGGCUUGAGCAGCAUGAGAAGCAAUUGCAGCAGCGUGAGGCUCAGAAUGAAACUGAUAGGAUAAAACUUCAUGAUGAGAAAAAAAUGAAUGAGAGGGCUGCUGUAGAGCAAAAGAAGGCAGAUGAGAAUUUCUUGAAGUUGGCAGAGGAACAAAAGAAAGAAAAGGAGAAACUUCACAGAAAAACAAUUGAACUGGAAAAGAAACUUGAUGCUAAACAGGCAUUAGAGUUGGAGGUUGAGCGCAUGAGAGGAGCAUUACAGGUCAUGAAACACAUGGGUGACGAUGGGGAUUUUGAGAUGAAGAAAAAGAUGGAUCUAAUUAUAGAAGAUUUGAAUGAGAAGGUAGAAGAAUUGGAUCACAUGGAACAACUGAACCAAGCUCUUAUCAUCAAGGAGCGUAAAACUAAUGAUGAAGUGCAGGAGGCUCGUAAAGAGCUAAUCGCUGGAUUGAGAGAAGUGACAGCCCGUGCUAAUAUUGGUGUCAAGAGAAUGGGCGAGCUUGAUAUCAAGCCAUUCACCACUGCAACCAAGAGGAAAUUUCCAAAGGAAGAAGCAGCUGAGAAAGCUAUGGUGCUGUGUUCACAAUGGGAGGACUAUCUUAGAGAUCCUAGCUGGCAUCCCUUUAAGAUCAUCGUAGAUGAAGGAGGGAAUAGUAAGGGAGUAAUGGAUGAUGAAGAUGAAAAGUUGAAGAAUUUGAAGAAUGAGCUUGGUGAUGAAGUUUAUGCGGCAGUGACUACAGCCUUGAAGGAGGUGAAUGAAUAUAAUCCAAGUGGUAGGUACAUUGUACCGGAGCUGUGGAAUUUCAAAGAAGGAAAGAAAGCAACAUUAAAGGAAGGAGUACUCCACAUCCUGAAGAAGUGGAGAUUGCUUAAACAGAGGUCGCGCUGAAGGUAUGCAUUGUAAGUGCUACGAUGGAGAGUGUUUAACAUGACAUAUACAGGAUCUGUGGCCGGAUCAUCCUUUACUGAAGCAUAGUGGAUGUGGUGCUCCUAGAGGUUUCAGUUAUAUUUUGCUGCUAGUAGUCCGUCUCGUGCAUACCUGCAUAUAAGAAACUUUCAGAAAUUUUCUUUUGCUUGAUGUGCCUGGAUUUUGAUAAAGACAAAACUAUAAUGGAUGGAGUACAUUGGAAGAUGUUUGUGUUCUUUAAUUUGGACUUAGGCAUCGCAAUGUUACAGGUUAUAUGGACA